rnacentral:rRNA from 1 species
GAUGAACGCUGGCGGCGUGCCUAAUACAUGCAAGUCGAGCGAACAGACGAGGAGCUUGCUCCUCUGACGUUAGCGGCGGACGGGUGAGUAACACGUGGAUAACCUACCUAUAAGACUGGGAUAACUUCGGGAAACCGGAGCUAAUACCGGAUAUAUAUUGAACCGCAUGGUUCAAUAGUGAAAGGAGGUUUUGCUGUCACUUAUAGAUGGAUCCGCGCCGCAUUAGCUAGUUGGUAAGGUAACGGCUUACCAAGGCAACGAUGCGUAGCCGACCUGAGAGGGUGAUCGGCCACACUGGAACUGAGACACGGUCCAGACUCCUACGGGAGGCAGCAGUAGGGAAUCUUCCGCAAUGGGCGAAAGCCUGACGGAGCAACGCCGCGUGAGUGAUGAAGGUCUUCGGAUCGUAAAACUCUGUUAUUAGGGAAGAACAAAUGUGUAAGUAACUAUGCACGUCUUGACGGUACCUAAUCAGAAAGCCACGGCUAACUACGUG